GAUGAACGCUGGCGGCGUGCCUAAUACAUGCAAGUCGAGCGAACAGACGAGGAGCUUGCUCCUCUGACGUUAGCGGCGGACGGGUGAGUAACACGUGGAUAACCUACCUAUAAGACUGGGAUAACUUCGGGAAACCGGAGCUAAUACCGGAUAAUAUAUUGAACCGCAUGGUUCAAUAGUGAAAGACGGUUUUGCUGUCACUUAUAGAUGGAUCCGCGCCGCAUUAGCUAGUUGGUAAGGUAACGGCUUACCAAGGCAACGAUGCGUAGCCGACCUGAGAGGGUGAUCGGCCACACUGGAACUGAGACACGGUCCAGACUCCUACGGGAGGCAGCAGUAGGGAAUCUUCCGCAAUGGGCGAAAGCUUGACGGAGCAACGCCGCGUGAGUGAUGAAGCUCUUCGGAUCGUAAAACUCUGUGAUUAGGGAAGAACAAAUGUGUAAGUAACUAUGCACGUCUUGACGGUACCUAAUCAGAAAGCCACGGCUAACUACGUG
rnacentral:rRNA from 1 species